AGCUGGUCUGAAGAUAGUGAGUUACCACAACUGAAUGUUCACAGUUACAGAUUGAAUUCUGUUCUACUCUUUCCCUUUUUCUCACUAUUGCAUUUGACUACUCGCUUUUU
ensembl:Y_RNA Y_RNA Y RNA